rnacentral:rRNA from 1 species
GAUGAACGCUGGCGGCGUGCCUAAUACAUGCAAGUCGAGCGAACGGACGAGAAGCUUGCUUCUCUGAUGUUAGCGGCGGACUGGUGAGUAACACGUGGAUAACCUACCUAUAAGACUGGGAUAACUUCGGGAAACCGGAGCUAAUACCGGAUGAUAUUUUGAACCGCAUGGUUCAAAAGUGAAAGACGGUCUUGCUGUCACUUAUAGAUGAAUCCGCGCUGCAUUAGCUAGUUGGUAAGGUAACGGCUUACCAAGGCAACGAUGCAUAGCCGACCUGAGAGGGUGAUCGGCCACACUGGAACUGAGACACGGUCCAGACUCCUACGGGAGGCAGCAGUAGGGAAUCUUCCGCAAUGGGCGAAAGCCUGACGGAGCAACGCCGCGUGAGUGAUGAAGGUCUUCGGAUCGUAAAACUCUGUUAUUAGGGAAGAACAUAUGUGUAAGUAACUGUGCACAUCUUGACGGUACCUAAUCAGAAAGCCACGGCUAACUACGUG